rnacentral:rRNA from 1 species
AUGGCCCCAUUCAUCCGGCUUCCCCCGCUACACUACCCAGGGCUGGAGCUCUCCCUCAGAAAAAGAAAACCUAGGUCGCGAGCGAUGCCGCCACCGCCGCCGGCGAAAUCCCCGACCACCGUGCUCGAUCUCGACGACGACCUUCUCCGCGAGGUGUUCCUCCGCCUCCCCUGCCUCCCCAGCCUCGUCCGUGCCGCCCUCUCCUGCCGCACCUUCCUCUCCGCGGUCCGUUCGUCCCCCGCCUUCCGCCGCAGCUUCCGGGCUCUCCACCCGUCUCCCUUUGUCGGAUUCUUCAUCCAACGCUUGACGAAAGGAUUCAUCGUCGGCUUCCAGCCCGAGGACUCUUCUUUCGAAGCCCACCACCUCCCCACCGACCGGGACUUCGCUGCCGCUGUGAGCGGCGGCGAUUUCGACCUCACCGGCCUCCCACUCCCAGACGAGGAUGAGGACAGCGACGUAGAAGAUGAGAACGACGAAGAGAACAACAUGGAGGAGGACACCAAUGGAGAAGAUGAGAACAGCGAGGAUGAAGAGGAGGAGGAGGACGACCAAUAA